GGUAUUAAAACACAGACAAGGGAAGAAUCACAAAAUGAGGAUUGUUGUGUUUGUUGGCAGCCCUGUUGAUGCUGAUGAAAAGGAUCUUGUAAAAUUAGCCAAGAAGCUGAAAAAGGAGAAA